AAAGAGGAAGUGAGGAGAGAAAAGGAUAUGGAGAGGUAAUGGUUUGGUGAAGAGUGAGGUUUUCUGUAAGGAGGAAGGAAGACUGGAGACCUUCCUCCUGUACUACAGGCAGUCCUGGACUUACAACAAACAUCACUUACAACCUUUUGUAAACUACGACAGUUUCAAGGUUCCAACAGGUGUCCAGUGUCGUAAAGUCGAAACCAACUGCCUCUACCUGUAUGAAGAACAUCAUAAUCCAACCCCGAACUCUGGAGAAGCCAAGACCAUACAACAGUGUAUAUUAAAAGCUACCAAACUAGUGGUGCCUCUUGCACAUAUUUAAUGCUUUAACACCUGAGCCCUAAUGGAAAAACAUAGCAAAAUAUCCUAAAAAUAUAUGUAGCUAGGGCACACACAAGCCUAGGAAGAGAAGAUGCCUGAUCAGUAGCAUCUUCUGCAAAGAUUGGGCUUGUGAAGCAGCUAAAGAAAAGAGCUGUCAGCACCUCAGGCAGUGUGGGAUGGCUCAAUUAAAAGAGGACUACUCUUGGGACAUGCUGCCAUCAUCUGCUGCAGAAAAAACAAAGGUUUUGUCCCAGAAUGUCUUUCUCCUGCUCCGUGUCUGCCCCAGGAAGGAGGAUGCACUUGGUGUUGUCUCUGGAGUAAGGCCUUGCUACAGCUGUCAGUGUGAAGUGAUUAUUCUGUGAUUGUUCUAGAAAUGCAUUCAACAAGCACAAGAUUCCUCAAAGUUUUCUCUUAUAAUAAUAAAGAAAACUAUAAAAGCAAGCUGAUCAGAAAACCAGUUAGAGGAGAUUUUCAUCUCAUGACUUUAUCAUACAUAAUGAUGAUUUUAAUAAAUUCUAACUAGCAGAAUUGGAAUUAUUUUGCCAGUUUGAUGUUAGCUAUUGUGGUCAUUUCCACAUUGGGUGUUUUUUUGUUUGUUUUAAGUAUGAAUAUGUUCCACAUCCAGAACUAAAAAGUAGGGUUCAAAGAUUUUCACGUUGUGUUUAUGGCAUGUAACACUCUAACCUGUGGCCAUUUUAGAUUAGAUUACAGCAAUUUAUACACAUAGUCUUUUGCAAGGCAACGUGCUGGAGAUUGUGUGUCAGAGCAGACUAGAUCAAUCCAGUCUGCUCUGUGUGCGAGCUGACACACACUGCACUGCAUUACUUGCAGUUGUAUAAGCGGCAAAAUCCACAUCGGCAUGGAAAAGAUGGUGGCGGUACACUUGUGACCUAAAACACCUUUGUGUGUUAGUUCAAAAGUGGAGCACCACCAUUUUCUGCAUGCUGAUGGAUGUUUUGCCGCUUAUACAACUGUGUACGCGUUGCAACGUUAGGUGUUUUUCAAAGGUUUUUGGUUUUGGAUUUUACACCUUUUACUUUGUAACCUGCAUGCUAUUCAUUAUUCUAUGCCAGGACUACCAGAUAUUCUAUAUCCAUAUGAAUUUUGUCAAAAAAAGUAAGAGAUCAGAAGCUACAAAGAACAGGUGAAACAUUGAUAGUUGCUGUUCUUAAAAGGUUGUGAUUAGUUGGGCAUUGAGAAUUUAGCACAAAGAACACUUUAUUGGUGUUUAAUGUAGCAGCAUCUAUAAUGUAUUGACUUUUAGUGCAGUCACCAUGGUAAACAAAACGUUCUUUUUUCCUUUGUUUGUUAAUAUUAGAGAAGAGAUGCAGAAACUUCAUUCUAGGGGUUCAUGAAGAAAUUCAUAUUUCAUAGCAGAAACCUACACUUGUAUCUCCAUUUUCUGUCUUGGGUUCUGUCACAUAAGCAACAAAUCAACCGGAAUAAUUUGUCCCAUCAAAAGGACAUCAAAACUAGGCUCUGUUAAUGAGUAGAAAUAAAGAGUUUUUCAGCUGCGCACAGUUCUUGGAGAACAUCACAAUCUUUUAGAGAAGAGUGAUUGAUGACAUCUAUUAAUGAUUCUCAUGACUGAUUGUGCUAGAUGCCAUACAUAUAUACCAAGGAAGUCUCUGCCUCAAAGCUUAGAAUCAAAAUAAGUAAGAUUGAAAGAAGAAUUAAUUGAAAUGAAACCCACAAGUUCACAAAGGAAGUCUGUUUUAGAGCCAGGAGUUACACAAGAUCUCAAGAGAUCUUGGGAUAUGGCCUGAAGCAUAAGACUAGCUAUCCUUUAUAGCAUCACUAAAACAAGGUGAUAAAGAUUCUUGCUAGCUGUAUGCAAAAAGAUAAAUAAAUAAAUGAUUGUUUCCCUUUA